rnacentral:rRNA from 1 species
GACGAACGCUGGCGGCGUGCUUAACACAUGCAAGUCGAGCGGUAAGGCCCUUUCGGGGGUACACGAGCGGCGAACGGGUGAGUAACACGUGGGUGACCUGCCCUCAGCUCUGGGAUAAGCCUGGGAAACUGGGUCUAAUACCGGAUAUGACUCCAUGACGCAUGUUGUGGGGUGGAAAGCCUUGUGCGGCUGAGGAUGGGCCCGCGGCCUAUCAGCUUGUUGGUGGGGUGANGGCCUACCAAGGCGACGACGGGUAGCCGGCCUGAGAGGGCCGACCGGCCACACCGGGACUGAGACACGGCCCAGACUCCUACGGGAGGCAGCAGUGGGGAAUCUUGCGCAAUGGGCGAAAGCCUGACGCAGCGACGCCGCGUGAGGGAUGACGGCCU